rnacentral:tRNA from 1 species
UCCCUGAUGGCCUAGUGGUUAAGGACUCAGCAUUGUCACUGCUGUGGCUCAGAUGACAGCUGUGGCUCAGGUUUGAGCCCUGGCCUGGGAA